UGGAGAUAUCCUACUCUCCUGGUCUCCUUCGUCUCCUGCCAUUGCGUUUUAUCGCUCCUUUAAGUGGAGGGCAGAUUAAAAAAAAAAAAUUCCUGCACGGUGUGGGUAAUCGCCGCGUUAUUUACAAUCUAGUUACUCUGCAGCAGACCGGGAAGAAAACUCUGGGGCUCCUUCCUUUCGGAUGGAUAGAGGGCGGCCGGGCGGCGAGCUGCUGGAAGGAGGCCUUUUAACCAGUUUGUGGUACAAAGAUACACGUCAGGAGGACCCUUAGGAGUCGUGGACAAGCCUCCCUGCAUGUGGCAGGUAUGUUUCUUGGGUAUGUGUCUAAGAAAUGUAACUUAAUUUCUUCUUUUAU
rnacentral:lncRNA from 1 species